UAAUCCCAAGUCACUGUGGUCAGCAAAAGGAGAUGCACCUGCUACACCCCAGCUUUGGAAUCCUCAGUCACCUGUCAGAGGAAUCCACGUUGCGUAGCUAUUUUGGAAGAGAGACAAGCAUGAAGCAGAUUCAAUUGGGGCGGCUCUGAAGGCCUAUGACAGCUGGCAAAGUGUUCCUGAAGGGUUGCUUCCUGUGUGCUUCUCCCAAUGAAGAAGAGAUCUCCAGAGAGACCAGCCCCAGAAUAUCCUAGAUGUCACUGCCCAGCCCCUUAGUGGGUGUAAAUCGACCUAGCCCUCAUGGUUGGAGAGAAAAGCUGG